GACGAACGCUGGCGGCGUGCUUAACACAUGCAAGUCGAACGGAAAGGCCCUGCUUUUGUGGGGUGCUCGAGUGGCGAACGGGUGAGUAACACGUGGGUAACCUGCCCUUGACUUUGGGAUAACUUCAGGAAACUGGGGCUAAUACCGGAUAGGAGCUCCUGCUGCAUGGUGGGGGUUGGAAAGUUUCGGCGGUUGGGGAUGGACUCGCGGCUUAUCAGCUUGUUGGUGGGGUAGUGGCUUACCAAGGCUUUGACGGGUAGCCGGCCUGAGAGGGUGACCGGCCACAUUGGGACUGAGAUACGGCCCAGACUCCUACGGGAGGCAGCAGUGGGGAAUAUUGCACAAUGGGCGGAAGCCUGAUGCAGCAACGCCGCGUGCGGGAUGACGGCCUUCGGGUUGUAAACCGCUUUCGCCUGUGACGAAGCGUGAGCGACGGUAAUGGGUAAAGAAGCACCGGCUAACUACGUG
rnacentral:rRNA from 1 species